rnacentral:rRNA from 1 species
AACGAACGCUGGCGGCAGGCUUAACACAUGCAAGUCGAGCGCCCCGCAAGGGGAGCGGCAGACGGGUGAGUAACGCGUGGGAAUCUACCCAUCUCUACGGAAUAACGCAUGGAAACGUGUGCCAAUACCGUAUACGUCCUUCGGGAGAAAGAUUUAUCGGAGAUGGAUGAGCCCGCGUUGGAUUAGCUAGUUGGUGGGGUAAAGGCCUACCAAGGCGACGAUCCAUAGCUGGUCUGAGAGGAUGAUCAGCCACACUGGGACUGAGACACGGCCCAGACUCCUACGGGAGGCAGCAGUGGGGAAUAUUGGACAAUGGGCGCAAGCCUGAUCCAGCCAUGCCGCGUGAGUGAUGAAGGCCCUAGGGUUGUAAAGCUCUUUCACCGGUGAAGAUAAUGACGGUAACCGGAGAAGAAGCCCCGGCUAACUUCGUGCCAGCCGCCGCGGUAACGC